AACGAAUGCUGGCGGCAUGCCUAAUACAUGCGAGUCGAACGAUCACUUCGGUGGUAGUGGCGCACGGGUGCGUAACGCGUGGGAAUCAGCCCUUGGGUUCGGAAUAACAUCUGGAAACGGAUGCUAAUACCGGAUGAUGACGUAAGUCCAAAGAUUUAUCGCCCAGGGAUGAGCCCGCGUAGGAUUAGCUAGUUGGUGGGGUAAAGGCCUACCAAGGCGACGAUCCUUAGCUGGUCUGAGAGGAUGAUCAGCCACACUGGGACUGAGACACGGCCCAGACUCCUACGGGAGGCAGCAGUAGGGAAUAUUGGACAAUGGGGGCAACCCUGAUCCAGCAAUGCCGCGUGAGUGAUGAAGGCCUUAGGGUUGUAAAGCUCUUUUACCCGGGAUGAUAAUGACAGUACCGGGAGAAUAAGCCCCGGCUAACUCCGUGCCAGCCGCCGCUGUAA
rnacentral:rRNA from 1 species